rnacentral:lncRNA from 10 species
CAGAUCCUUUCUGUUUCUGGAUUCUCCCUUUUGUUUCACUGGUGUCUUUGUUGAUGUCUUUACCAAUUGCAUGCUUUUUAAAUUGUUAGAACUUUAUAACAACUCUUGAUAUUUUGGUUGGGCAAGUUCUUCCUAAUGUAUUCCUUAUUUUAAACAGCAAGAGGUAAAAUUUGCGUAGUGUAAAAUCCACCCAUUACAAAUUACAAUUCAAUGAUAUAUAUUUGUAGAAUAUUCUUUUUUUUUUUUUUUUUUUGACAGA